CCGGGAACAGCCCCGAAAGCGAGGGGAUCGGUCUCUUUCCAUCUUUCUCUCGAUGGCAAGUCUGAACAGGGCUUGAGUUCGAAAAGUUGAAGGGAAGAAGAAAAAGAAUCGGAUGGCGUCUGUUAGCUUCUGUACCACUGCCUUGGGUUCGUCCAGGACCUAUCUGGUACCGUUCAAGCUUAACCAUGUUGGAAGAACCACCAGGAAAUCAUCUAUUAGGCAAAGCAUGACAACUAGAGCUGAGGUCAAAUUUGUAGAUAGCAAAGAAGCAGAAGAACUUGUUAAAUUGGGUGGUUAUGUCAUUGUGGAUGUGCGUGAUAAAACUCAAUAUGAGCGAGCCCACAUAAAAUCUUGUUAUCAUGUGCCUCUCUUCAUUGAGAACACAGACAACGAUUUUGGCACAAUUGUCAAGAGAACUGUUCACAACAAUUUCUCAGGCUUAUUUUUUGGUUUGCCCUUCACUAAGCCGAACCCUGACUUCAUUGGAUCUGUUAAGAAAAGUUUCACACUCGACAGCAAAAUAUUGCUAGUUUGUCAGGAAGGAUUGAGGUCAACUGCAGCUGCUAAUCAGCUUGAGGCAGAGGGCUUUCAAAAUGUAGCUUGCCUUACAUCUGGCCUUCAGUCAGUAAAGCCAGGAAAUUUUGACUCUGUUGGAUCCACAGAGCUGCAGAAUGCUGGCAAAGCAGGUCUUGUGACAGUUCAAGGAAAGAUCUCAGCAGUUUUAGGCACUGCACUCAUCUGUGCAUAUCUUUUCAUUACUCUUUUUCCAGAGCAAGCAGAAAAACUCCUUCAACUGGGACCUGGAAGCUAGCAUUCACAGGACAUUCAAUUUUUGGCAACCUUUGGCAUCAGUUGUGAUGGUUUCCAGGUUCCACAGCAUUUGAAAGGCUUUCACACACCAUAUGCAUUCUGGUGAAAGUGCAACAGAAAAUCUGGUUAAUCAGAUCGGUGAUGUGACCCCUGCAUUGGCUGUGCUAAAUUUUGUCCAUCGUGUGCAACAGUUGUAUAAUUAUUCAAUUGUAUUUCUGGAUAAAAUGCUACAAUAUUCUUGUUCUAGUCCAUCUGCAAGAUUAUGUUACUUCA